GAAGCUGACCAGACAGUCGCCGCUGCGUCGUCGUCCUUUCGGGGAGACGGGCGCAGGGGAGGAAAGUCCGGGCUCCAUAGGGCAGGGUGCCAGGUAACGCCUGGGGGGCGCAAGCCCACGACCAGUGCAACAGAGAGCAAACCGCCGAUGGCC
rnacentral:RNase_P_RNA from 1 species